rnacentral:rRNA from 1 species
CUGCGGCGUGCUUAACACAUGCAAGUCGAACGCGAAAGGGGACUUCGGUCCUGAGUAAAGUGGCGCACGGGUGAGUAACGCGUAGAUAACCUGUCUUCAUGUCUGGAAUAAUACGCCAAAGGGGUACUAAUACCGGAUAUUCUUGCUUUUCAUAAGUUAUGCAAGCAAAGGUGGCCUCUGCAUAUGCUACUGCAUGAAGAGGGGUCUGCGUACCAUUAGCUAGUAGGUGGGGUAAUGGCCUACCUAGGCGACGAUGGUUAGCGGGUCUGAGAGGAUGAUCCGCCACACUGGCACUGGAACACGGGCCAGACUCCUACGGGAGGCAGCAGUGAGGAAUAUUGCGCAAUGGGGGAAACCCUGACGCAGCGACGCCGCGUGAGUGAGGAAGGCCUUCGGGUCGUAAAGCUCUGUCAAGAGGAAAGAAGUGUACAAUGGCCAAUACCUGUUGUAUUUGACGGUACCUCUAAAGGAAGCACCGGCUAACUCCGUGCCAGCCGCCGC